rnacentral:lncRNA from 1 species
GUGACUUCCUCUUUGUCACCUCUUUUAGAUUACAAACUCUGGGGAAACUAGCCGACAUAUCAUAAGAACAUUCAAGUAGCCUUACAGUGAAGUCCACAUCAAGCGGAACUGAGGGCUCCUCUCAACAGCCAUGUGGCUGAACCAUCUUGGAAGCAGGUUCUCAGCCCCAGUGAAGCUUAUGAUGACUGCAGCCUCUGCCAAUAUUUUGACUGCAACUUAUGGCUAUUCCUGAGCUAGAACAACUAGCUAAGCCGCUCCUGAAUUUCCAAUCCAUAUAAACUGCUAGAAUACAACUCAAUAUGAAACUGCUUCUGCC